GGAAUUUUGGACAAUGGGCGAAAGCCUGAUCCAGCCAUGCCGCGUGAGUGAAGAAGGCCUUCGGGUUGUAAAGCUCUUUCAGCCGGAACGAAAUCGUCGGGGCUAAUACUCCGGAUGGAUGACCGUACUGGAAGAAGAAGCACCGGCUAACUACGUGCCAGCCGCCGCGGUAAUACGUAGGGUGCAGGCGUUAAUCGGAAUUACUGGGCGUAAAGCGUGCGCAGGCGGCUUUUCAAGUCAGAUGUGAAAUCCCCGGGCUUAACCUGGGAACUGCGUUUGAAACUGGAAGGCUAGAGUGCGGCAUAGGGGGGUGGAAUUCCACGUGUAGCAGUGAAAUGCGUAGAUAUGUGGAGGAACACCGAUGGCGAAGGCAGCCCCUUGGGCCUGCACUGACGCUCAUGCACGAAAGCGUGGGGAGCA
rnacentral:rRNA from 1 species